UAUAAUUCACUGCAAUAGUUCGGACGCUGCAGGCACUGCGUCGGGUCGCGCGUGAAUGAAGUUUAACUCUAAGGGCUCCAUAACUAAGCCAGUUGUCGUCAGUGAGUGAACCAGGCAAAUGAGGCUACGAAGCGAUCAAACUGAAGAAUCGAGUGGCCCUGACAGCGCAUCUGAUCGCGCGGCAGUAAAGGUGCACUCCUUCAUCCUAAAUGAAGGCCGUUUAGUGUUGUUAAUGCAAUCACUUCUAUCGUCCGUAGUAUUCAAUUAAGUUUUACGUCCGGUGUCGCUCUUAGGUGUUCCGCCAGACAGACGGCUAACUUUCAGUACCAGACGAAGUCCGUCAAUGCCCAAGUUCGAACUUAGACCACAACGUAUCGCCAAGAUUAGCAGAAUCGAGAGAUGCGUUAGAUAUUUUGUCUGUUUUUGGAGUGAGCCAGCUAUCAGUCCUACCCAUGAAAACAAGAGAUUCCAUCGAGACUAUGGAAUACCCUGUCCACGGGAACUUUCUAAACUACCUACUAAUAAUCAUCACUCUAUUUAGAGAGUUGCACCCCGCGCACGAAUUUAACGUCCGUUUACCGAUGACUCGCUAAACGGAUAAAAGUAGCACAGGUUUAAACGAAGUACCACAGUGCCAUCUAUAGUAUUUCAGGCUCCUACAUUUAAAUGCUUUGUAUUUUGCCGCUUAUCGUAGAAUCAGCUGUUCGAUCUUCAAGCGCUAAUAGCCAGCGCUAUACUGUUGAUGUUUUGGAGGUGACACAGCUCAAAAGAACUUGCAGAAGAUAUAGGGGAUUAAUAAGCGAGUUCUGAUAGUCUUUCGGCGACGAAAAACAAGCGAUUCCUCGUACUAGUUCAAGCCUCAAUUAAAUUGGAACAUUGAAGAAAAUUUUCUCUCGUUGCAAAAAGACUUCGAACAGCAUGGACAAAGAACGUGAUCGCUGGAAGUUUUGUCCAGUGGUCGAUAUAUAUAGCGUCACUCGCCCGUCCUCUCAGGCCAUUCAGCAUUAAAUGACAAACGUUGUUGCAAAGCCUGUAUUAUUUGCUAAAUUACAAGUUGGUCAUACAACAACUACCCCACCGGCACUACGAAACAAUCAUCGCCCAACGUGGAAAUACGAUUGAAACCUUAAAGAGGCUGACAAGUUGAAACGCGCCUGUUGCCAAUAGCCGAAAGGCUUAUACAUCCGUCACACAGGAGUAACGUAGUACAAGUUUCAGAAUUAAACACAACGAGCACCACAUCCUCUUGCAUGAAACUGCGGAUCGAUUUUCUACUAACAUUGAUCAUAAACAUCAUAGGCUCUCAAUAGGUAGCUUUCAA
rnacentral:lncRNA from 1 species